rnacentral:rRNA from 1 species
AUGCCCCGGUUCAUUUUAGAGUCACUUGGUUGUUUGAUGCGUUCGUGCUCGUCGGCGGGACGGUGCAAGGCGCAACUCCGACGCGGUUCCUCGCCGGUUGGACGGCAUUCAGGUGCAACCCCGGCGCACACUGAGUACUGCCUUGGCUAUAACCUCCCUCGAAAUUCAGUUCAUAUGAAAGAAAAGAAAGUCAUACAGUACCUGGCAUUGACAUUGGGAGCAUGGGCUACUGCUCGCACCUCUACCUACAGGUUACAGGUUCCUUCCUUUCUCUAUAUGGUGGCCUGCGAAGGAAGAUUUUUGUUACUCAUUCAGAGUUCUAUCAUGCACAAUCAUGUAUGCACACUGGUCUAUCCAGAAGAUUAG